rnacentral:antisense_RNA from 1 species
AGUCAUGACGGCGAUGCGUGGGCACCUGUAAGGGUGGCCGGGUUCCUGAGCCCUGGUUUUCGACCCCACGCAUCGUCCGUCACCAAA